rnacentral:rRNA from 1 species
GACGAACGCUGGCGGCGUGCUUAACACAUGCAGGUCGAACGGAAAGGCCCUGCUUUUGUGGGGUGCUCGAGUGGCGAACGGGUGAGUAACACGUGAGUAACCUGCCCUUGACUUUGGGAUAACUUCAGGAAACUGGGGCUAAUACCGGAUAGGAGCUCCUGCUGCAUGGUGGGGGUUGGAAAGUUUCGGCGGUUGGGGAUGGACUCGCGGCUUAUCAGCUUGUUGGUGGGGUAGUGGCUUACCAAGGCUUUGACGGGUAGCCGGCCUGAGAGGGUGACCGGCCACAUUGGGACUGAGAUACGGCCCAGACUCCUACGGGAGGCAGCAGUGGGGAAUAUUGCACUAUGGGCGGAAGCCUGAUGCAGCAACGCCGCGUGCGGGAUGACGGCCUUCGGGUUGUAAACCGCUUUCGCCUGUGACGAAGCGUGAGUGACGGUAAUGGGUAAAGAAGCACCGGCUAACUACGUG